GAUGUAGUAUUGAGACGCAUAUGUUGGCUCGCGUUGGAGCCCUUUCUCCACGAAGAACAUUAUGUUCAUCUUGUUCAACAAAGAAAUCUGUUCAAUUUUGGUUAGACCUAGCAUUGUGGGGAAGCCUCUACCGCGCACACCCGCCGCGACACCGAAACUCUAGUCGAGAACUUCGGCUCCAACGAGCCACCGCCGCACUUGAACAACGGACGGCGGGCCUAACGAUCUUCCCCUCUCUUAUCAUCUGGAGGAUGACACCGGCGGCCUUGCGCAUGGCGACCUAGCCCACCAUGCCCUUCGAGACGGCGCAUGGGGAGAAGGAGGAGUCCAGCCCCAGGCUGCGGAUGUGGGAGUGCGCACCCACGCGCUCGAUUUAGGUCAGGUCGCGGCUCUUCGAGAGUCUCAGCUCCGCCAUGGUUGCGACGGCGAUAAGAGGGGUUUUGUUUAGGGUUUUGAGGGUUUCGUUUGGUUUGGACUUUGGAGUGUGCUUGUUUUUUAGUAUAAAAAUGGAACCUUGGCUUAAACCGUCUCUUUUUUGUGUUUGCUCAAUAUGCCACUUAGAUUCUCUCCAAUGGAUUUUUUUUAAGAAAGUUGUUUAAGUUUAACAUAAUGUUAAGACAUAACUACUGUGGAUGCUAUUAGAAAUAAGAGUUUAAUUGUCCUGACAUUUUAUACUUUGAAUCAAUUAGAAAAUUAUUUAUUAUAAAACUCAAUAAAAACUUAUUAUGUACAUAUCUGAUAUGUGAUUGAAUGAUGUAGUUAAAGACUAAAAUUACAUUCUAAUUAAAUUCUAAUAAUAAUGACAGGUUCCUUGGAGUGGAUGAAGAAGCUUGGCAUAGCCUAAAGGAAUCUGUCGGUUCCUUUUCCCAAAUCAGGGAUCACCUUGGAUAUGUUCCUUGGAGUGGAUGAAGAAGCCUGGCAUAGCCUAAAGGAAUCUGCCGGUUCCUUUUCCCAAAUCAGGGAUCACCUUGGAUAUUUGUUGAAAUCGCUGUCAGAGGAAAGUAAUGCAACUUUUUCAGAAGCAUUGAAUAAAGAAGUUGCGUUGACCAAAGUUGUUGAUGCCUCAGCCAUGGGCAUGAACAAUGCUGCUACAAAUUCUAAAGGGGGGUCCAUGGGCAGAAAACUAAAGCCCAAGAUGAUUCAUCUGAAGUUGUGGAGAGCUCAGCUUUGUUGCCUUUAGAGAAAGCACCUUCCAUUGAGCUAGUAAUUGUGACAUUUGAACAACCUUUGGAGGAGGCGACCCUUAUCAAUUACUAGAGGAAAGUUAAAGUUCUUUACACACUUGUUGCAACUUGUGUAGUAGAUCAUGUCUUAAUAAUUACUUAAAGUAUAUAUAAAAAAAAGUAUGGUGAUUUGA